rnacentral:rRNA from 1 species
AGUGAACGCUGGCGGUAGGCCUAACACAUGCAAGUCGAACGGCAGCACAGUAAGAGCUUGCUCUUACGGGUGGCGAGUGGCGGACGGGUGAGGAAUACAUCGGAAUCUACUUUUUCGUGGGGGAUAACGUAGGGAAACUUACGCUAAUACCGCAUACGACCUACGGGGGAAAGCAGGGGAUCUUCGGACCUUGCGCGAUUGUAUGAGCCGAUGUCGGAUUAGCUAGUUGGCGGGGUAAAGGCCCACCAAGGCGACGAUCCGUAGCUGGUCUGAGAGGAUGAUCAGACACACUGGAACUGAGACACGGUCCAGACUCCUACGGGAGGCAGCAGUGGGGAAUCUUGGACAAAGGGCGCAAGCCUGAUCCAGCCAUACCGCGUGGGUGAAGAAGGCCUUCGGGUUGUAAAGCCCUUUUGUUGGGAAAGAAAAGCAGCAGGUUAAUACCCCGCUGUUCUGACGGUACCCAAAGAAUAAGCACCGGCUAACUUCGUG